AUUGAACGCUGGCGGCAGGCCUAACACAUGCAAGUCGAACGAGUGGCGGACGGGUGAGUGAUGUCUGGGAAACUGGCUGAUGUAGGGGGAUAACUACUGGAAACGGUAGCUAAUAACGCAAACAACCAGAUGUGCCCAGAUGGGAUUAGCUGGGUGGUGGGGUAACGGCUCACAAAGGCGACGAUCCCUAGCUGGUCUGAGAGGAUGACCAGCCACACUGGGACUGAGACACGGUCCAGACUCCUACGGGAGGCAGCAGUGGGGAAUAUUGCACAAUGGGCGCAAGCCUGAUGCAGCCAUGCCGCGUGUAUGAAGAAGGCCUUCGGGUUGUAAAGUACUUUCAGCGGGGAGGCGUUAUCCGCAGAAGAAGCACCGGCUAACUCCGUGCCAGCAGCCGCGGUAAUUC
rnacentral:rRNA from 1 species